GGGGUUGUGGCUCAGUGGUAGAGCGCUCGCCUAGCACGUGUGAGUACCUGGGUUUGAUCCUCAGCACCA
rnacentral:tRNA from 1 species